UACCCGCAGCACAAGUGGUGGUCAUUAUUAUUGGGCCUAAAGCGUCCGUAGCUGGCUUGUUAGAUGCCUGGGUAAAUCGAUGCGCUCAACGUAUCGAAUUCCGGGUAGACCGGCAAGCUCGAGACCGGGAGAGGUGUAGGCUACUCGAGGGGUAGGGGUAAAAUCCUGUAAUCCUUCGGGGAGGACCAGUGGCGAAGGCGCUACACUAGAACGGCUCUGACAGUGAGGGACGAAGCCCUGGGGCGC
rnacentral:rRNA from 1 species